GCGGCGGUAGUUCAAUGGUAGAACCUUAGCCUUCCAAGCUAAUGACGCGGGUUCGAUUCCCGCUCGCCGCUCCA
rnacentral:tRNA from 1 species